rnacentral:rRNA from 1 species
GAUGAACGCUGGCGGCGUGCCUAAUACAUGCAAGUCGAGCGAACGGACGAGAAGCUUGCUUCUCUGAUGUUAGCGGCGGACGGGUGAGUAACACGUGGAUAACCUACCUAUAAGACUGGGAUAACUUCGGGAAACCGGAGCUAAUACCGGAUAAUAUUUUGAACUGCAUGGUUCAAAAGUGAUAGACGGUCUUGCUGUCACUUAUAGAUGGAUCCGCGCUGCAUUAGCUAGUUGGUAAGGUAACGGCUUACCAAGGCAACGAUGCAUAGCCGACCUGAGAGGGUGAGCGGCCACACUGGAACUGAGACACGGUCCAGACUCCUACGGGAGGCAGCAGUAGGGAAUCUUCCGCAAUGGGCGAAAGCCUGACGGAGCAACGCCGCGUGAGUGAUGAAGGUCUUCGGAUCGUAAAGCACUGUUAUUAGGGAAGAACAUAUGUGUAAGUAUCUGUGCACAUCUUGACGGUACCUAAUCAGAAAGCCACGGCUAACUACGUG